rnacentral:rRNA from 1 species
AAAUUGACGGGGCCCGCACAAGCGGUGGAGCAUGUGGUUUAAUUCGAAGCAACGCGAAGAACCUUACCAGGUCUUGACAUCCCGAUGCUAUUUCUAGAGAUAGAAAGUUACUUCGGUACAUCGGUGACAGGUGGUGCAUGGUUGUCGUCAGCUCGUGUCGUGAGAUGUUGGGUUAAGUCCCCGCAACGAGCGCAACCCCUAUUGUUAGUUGCCAUCAUUCAGUUGGGCACUCUAGCGAGACUGCCGGUAAUAAACCGGAGGAAGGUGGGGAUGACGUCAAAUCAUCAUGCCCCUUAUGACCUGGGCUACACACGUGCUACAAUGGUUGGUACAACGAGUUGCGAGUCGGUGACGGCGAGCUAAUCUCUUAAAGCCAAUCUCAGUUCGGAUUGUAGGCUGCAACUCGCCUACAUGAAGUCGGAAUCGCUAGUAAUCGCGGAUCAGCACGCCGCGGUGAAUACGUUCCCGGGCCUU